AAUUUAAGCAUAUCAAAAGCCGGAG
rnacentral:rRNA from 1 species